rnacentral:lncRNA from 1 species
UGUGAAAAGUAAAAAGUAAGAGGAUUAUAAGUGGUGGGGUAUAGUCCAAAAAUAGGUAGGAAGUUCUUUUGUGGACGUCCCAAAAAGGAAAGAUAGGAAGUUCUUUCGUGGACGGAUGGAGUAUUUAUUUUUAAUAAUUAAAAUAUAAAUUUUAUUGUUGAUAAUUUGAACAUAUUAGUCAUUACUAUCAUUUUUAUGUCCUCAUGUUUCUUUUUCUUUUCUUUUUUCUUUUUUAAAGAUUUGAUGUCAUCAUGAUUUUUUUUUUGAUGAAAAUACGAAAUAAAUAAAUAAAGAAAAGACGGAACACACAAGAACUUGAGCUUACCCAAGGGGAAUACAAAAGCCACCAAAGAAACUCCCAACCUCAAGUGAGAUUUGGGGGGGGGGGGGGCGUGGAGGGGAAGGGAUGGGAAACCUUAAAGAAGGUAGCCAACCAAAAAGCACUAAAAAAACUAGUCUAAAUUAAAAACACAAGACUAGACUAGUAGAAAAGCCGAACAUACUAAUAUUAGCAACUGAAACUUUGCAACUUCUUCUGCUUCUCUAUCUUCCUUCAACGUUUUUGUUGUUUUCUUCUCGUUUUUUUUUUUUUAAUCGCUGAAAUCCCCGGGCAGCCAUGUCACGGAUGUAAUCAAAGGUGGGAGCCUUGUUGGGAGGUCACGAGCCAUGCAGCCAUCAGCCCGCAAAACAGCAACUACAUCCGCAGCACACUUCAUGGCAAGGGGUGAUCAAGGGCAGGAAGUAUCCUUGGGAAGGUUCCAGCAGAAACCAAACCUCCUGAAACAAGAAGAAGGGCCCCUAAAGGUCGUAUCCAUCCCCUCUAAAAGACCCGUAUUUAACAUUAAGGAAUAGAGUUACCCGGGAUAAGGAUGCAGAUUGUAUGCUGAUUCGUGUCGAGAUGAGCACGGAAUGUUUCCUCCAUGUGGUGACCAAAGAGGACGGCAUAGAUGUCUUUGAUAAUGUCAAGAGCGAUUUUCUUUGCCAGGAAGGGUUCAUUAUCAAACACCACACGGUUUCUUGCUGACCACAGAUGAUAGGUGGUGGUAGGCAUAAUGAGAGUUAGAGUUUUCGGUAAAUGGCCAAGCCACGACCCUUUUCAUACAAAUGUUUCACAGCACUUGAAAGAGUAGUCAUUGAGUGUGAGAUUUUAGCCCAUUCUCUCAAGUACACCCAAACUUUUGAAGUUCCUGCACAAGAGAAAAAGAGAUGAGAAUUAGACUCCAAAUCCUUUUUACAAAUGCUGCAAACUUUAGAGAUUUGUUUAAAACUAAUGCGGUC